rnacentral:rRNA from 1 species
AUUGAACGCUGGCGGCAGGCCUAACACAUGCAAGUCGAGCGGAUGAAGGGAGCUUGUUCUUGGCUUCCGCGGCGGACGGGUGAGUAAUGCCUAGGAAUCUGCCUGGUCUUGGGGGCUAACGUCCGUAAACGGGCGCUAAUCCCGCAUACGUUCUGAUGGUGAAACUGGGGGUUCUUUGGACCUCACGCUUUCUGCUGUGCCUAGGUCGGAUUAGCUAGUUGGUUGGGUAAAGGCCUACCAAGGCGACGAUCCGUAACUGGUCUGAGAGGAUGAUCAGUCACACUGGAACUGAGACACGGUCCAGACUCCUACGGGAGGCAGCAGUAGGGAAUAUUAGGCAAUGGGCGAAAGCCUGAUCCAGCAAUGCCGCGUGUGUGAAGAAGGUCUUCGGAUUGUAAAGCACUUUAAGUAGGGAGGAAGGGAAGUGAAUUAAAACAUGGAUGUUUUGACGUUACCAACAGAAUAAGCACCGGCUAACUACGUG